rnacentral:rRNA from 1 species
UCCGGUAGGGUACCUGCGGAGGGAUCAUUACACAAUACAAUAUGAAGGCUGUCCGCAGCUGGAGUAUUUUAUUACCCUUGUCUUUUGCGCACUUGUUGUUUCCUGGGCGGGUUCGCUCGCCACCAGGACCACCAAAUAAACCUUUUUUAUGCAGUUGCAAUCAGCGUCAGUACAAACAAUGUAAAUCAUUUACAACUUUCAACAACGGAUCUCUUGGUUCUGGCAUCGAUGAAGAACGCAGCGAAAUGCGAUACGUAGUGUGAAUUGCAGAAUUCAGUGAAUCAUCGAAUCUUUGAACGCACAUUGCGCCCUUUGGUAUUCCAAAGGGCAUGCCUGUUCGAGCGUCAUUUGUACCCUCAAGCUUUGCUUGGUGUUGGGCGUUUUUGUCUUUGGUCGCCCAAAGACUCGCCUUAAAGUGAUUGGCAGCCGGCCUUUCUGGUUUCGCAGCGCAGCACAUUUUUGCGCUUGCCAUCAGCAAGACGGCAAUCCAUCAAGCCUCCUUCUCACGUUUGACCUCGGAUCAGGUAGGGAUACCCGCUGAACUUAAGCAUAUCAAUAAGCCGGGAGGAAA